UACGUAGGGGGCAAGCGUUGUCCGGAAUCAUUGGGCGUAAAGAGCGUGUAGGCGGCCAGAUAAGUCCGCUGUGAAAUCUCGAGGCUCAACUUCGAGCCGUCGGUGGAAACUGUCUGGCUAGAGUCCGGAAGAGGAGAAUGGAAUUCCUGGUGUAGCGGUGAAAUGCGCAGAUAUCAGGAAGAACACCCGUGGCGAAGGCGGUUCUCUGGGACGGUACUGACGCUGAGACGCGAAAGCGUGGGGAGCGAACAGG
rnacentral:rRNA from 1 species